rnacentral:lncRNA from 12 species
GGGGGGGGGGGGGGGGGGGGGGGGGGGGGGGGGGGGGGGGGGGGGGGGGGGGGGGGGGGGGGGGGGGGGGGGGGGGGGGGGGGGGGGGGGGGGUGUGGGGGGAGGGGGCAGCUCUGGCCACACCUCCCUCCAGGACGGCCCACACGGGUGACAGAGGGCGACAGUCACAGUGACUUUAGUACAGCCGGGACCUGGGGUGACAUUUGGGGUCCCCAGGGGGCUGUAACCCCGAGGGGUCAGUGCUGGCGUCCCCAAGGGUGACAUUUGUGUCCCCCAAGGGUGACAGUCACUGUCCCUGGGGUGAUCCCGGUGUCCCUGAGGGUGUCCCCAGACAGGUGACACUCGGUGUCCACGGUCGUGGAGUCCCUGGGGGUGUCCUGGCUGUUGUCCCCAAGGAGGUGACAAUCACCAGUCCCAGUGCCCCCAGGGAGGUGACAAUCACCCGUGUCCCCAAAGAGAUGAAAAUCGCCGGUCCUGCCAUCCUCGUGGAGGUGACACUCGGUGUCCCCAUGGGGUUGACAAUCACCGGUCCCCGCUGUCCCCAGGGAGGUCACAGUUGCCGGUCUUGCUGUCCCCAAGGAGGUGACACUUAAAAGUUUCCUCAAGGGAGGUGACAAUUGGUGUCCCCAGAGAGGUGACAAUCACCAGCUCAGCUGUCCUCAGGGAGGUGACAGUCAGUGUCCCCAUGGAGGUGACACCCUCCGGUGUCCCCAGAGAGGUGACAGUCAGUGUCCCCAGUCAAGUGACAAUCAGCGUCUCCAGGGAGGUGGCAGUCGCCGCUCCUGCUGCCCCCAGGGAGGUGACAGUCACUGGUGUCCCCAGGGAGGUGACAAUCACCAGUCCCGCUGUCCCCAGGCAGGUGACACUCUCCGCUGUCCCGAGGGAGGUGACAGUCACUGGUGUCCCCAGAGAGGUGACAAUCACCAGUCCCGCUGUCCCCAGGCAGGUGACACUCUCCGGGGACCCCUGGGAGGUGACACUCCAUGUCCCCAGGGAGGUGACAGUCGGUGUCCCCAGGCAGGUGACAGUCGCCGCCCCCGCUGUCCCCAGGC